GUAUAGUCACGAUGGCCGACGGUUGUUUUGUUAUUUUUUCUCUCCUCUCGGCUGUCUGUAGCCAAACACACACAGAACCACUAACACGUUUUUUUGUUGCGUACGUUUUUCUUUCGUCUUUUUACACGGACUAAGAUCUUAGUCCGUGUCUUUUUAUUGUUUUCUCGUGAAGUUACCACAAUAAAAUGGAGUACCUAGUCACUCGGAAACAUUUUGCCGUGGCGGUGAACGCUGCCGGGCAAACUAAGGUUAUAAACAACAACAAAAAAGGUGCCAGUAUAGCAAGCGACACAAAAUUAGCCAAAUUAAUAUUAUAUUAUAAAAAAAACACAAACUGUUUACCUAUAUAAAGUAAAAAACAUUCAAUUUGGAUUCAAAAUACAAUAGAAAAUAUAAACAUACAUGGAUUAAAAGGAACUAGAUGUCACUGUUAAAGGUAUCAAUGUAGAAUACAACACAACCUCUGUACUGUAAUAUGCUUCCAAAUCAAUAAAAACAGUUGAUUGGAAAUUCUAAAAAAAUUUUAAAAUGUUGGAUUCAAAUACUAAAGUAUACUGAAGCAUGCAAUAUACUAGUAGUGGAACAAAUAAGGGAACAAAUUGUCUCCAUUAAAUGUUUAUGAAGUGCAGUUCUUAGCCCUAAUACUAAACUCAGUAAAUGUAUUGUAUAUAUUGGAUAUUAAUGUUAUGGAAUACCUUUAAAUGCCAACAUGUUCCCACACAUCUCAAAUAAAAAAUGAAGUGACUGUCUACUUUAGUUUCAAACAUUAAUCACUGUCAUUCGGACGAUGGUAUACGAACCCCGCACCGCCACCUCCGUAUCAUUCACAUCGCGCGUAAUGCGCUGAGGCGGCGACCAACAAAAUUUUAGAAAAAGCUCUUCGUCAUGCACAACAAAUUAGAGCUUAUCCUGAUUCAGAAUAUUAUAUUUCGUUUAUUUCUGUACCUACAUUUAGCCGUUCUCGAGAAAUAGCGCGGACAAACAUAUAGAUGCAGACGGACAACCAGACAAGAUACAAAGAAAAAUAAAAACUUUAAAAAUACUAUACAACUGUAGGUACAACUGGUACAAGUCAAAAGACAUAAUUUAAUGUAGGCAAAAUGGCUGUUUCCUCAUACUCAAUCCAUUUUAUCCGAGACCGCUUACCAGCUCCAUCAAGUCUCAACUCUCAACCCGAGGAAGCAUACCACACCGGCACAUCGUUUUCGACAGUUUUUCAUUGUAUCCAAUAUAUUUCGACGCCAUCGUAAAACAACGAAAAAAAAUUUAUAAUGUGAUAUGUGAACCACCAAUUAUAAAUAGUAAAUACUCGAUGUUGCGAUAACUCAUUUUCUUAUUAUCGGUCGUCUUAUCAUAAUAAUAGUCAAGUAAAACACACAAUCUAUAAAUAGCUAUUCAAACGGGGUAUAUUAUAUUGCAAUUGACACAAAACAACAAAGUAUAUAACUAUGGUUGUAAAUAACAUCACAGGGUUACAUUUUUAUUUAAUAAUACCAAAUACCACAGAUUAUGUUCGUAGUUUGUAUAAUCUGCAACAGUACGAUCAAUACGGAAUAAAUCCGUAUUAAAAAAGGUGGGCAAGUGGAUGUCGCUC
rnacentral:lncRNA from 1 species